GCUGUAGGGUGCUGCACUCCAGCCCUUAUGGUUUUCUGCUUUUGCACUGGGCAAGACCUUCCCUGGGAGAAAUGUUGUACCUCUCCAAUGCUUUGGAAAUAAAAUGUAAGCUGAAGAAAGGGGAAGAAAAUAAACAACAAAGCUUGUUGGCCAGGCUCCUAUGAUGGGUGCUGCUUUCUUGGGUCUGGGAUGGAAGAGCAUCUGGAGGUACAGUAAAACACAGCAAGAGAUGCUAUGGAAGCAGAGGAAAUGAAACUAUUGAAUCAAGAACUUUAGGAUAUAAAUAAAAUGUGCGCACUAUUAAUUCAACUGGUUUCCAAAUGAACAAUCUAAUCUCUUGUCUGUGUAAUUUCAUUAUCGGCAAUUUGAAAGGACCCAAAUGCUUUUCCUCUAAGGUUUUAACAGCAGAUGUGGACCAGACUAAGUGUGCUGAUUGAAAGAG